rnacentral:rRNA from 1 species
AUUGAACGCUGGCGGCAGGCCUAACACAUGCAAGUCGAGCGGAGCGGCGGACGGGUGAGUAAUGCCUAGGAAUCUGCCUGGUAGUGGGGGAUAACGUCCGGAAACGGGCGCUAAUACCGCAUACUCUUAGACGAGCCUAGGUCGGAUUAGCUAGUGGGUGGGGUAAAGGCCUACCAAGGCGUCGAUCCGUAACUGGGCUGAAAGGAGUAUCAGUCACACUGGAACGGAUAAACGGUCCAGACGCCUACGUGAGGCAGCAGUGGGGAAUAUUGGACAAUGGGCGAGAGCCUGAUCCAGCCAUGCCGCGUGUGUGAAGAAGGUCUUCGGAUUGUAAAGCGCUUUAAGUUGGGAGGCGUUACCAACAGAAUCAGCACCGGCUAACUUCGUGCCAGCAGCCGCGGUAAUAC